GGAAAAUCCAACUAUUUCCAAAAAUUCUCAAAAAAUACAGAAAUGAAGAUCUCAAUGAGUAGAGUAAACUUUAUACCUAAGGACAAGGCCAAUUUGUUCUGCAAAGGCUCCAAUUUCAUCAAAACCCGUCGGAACCCUAGUUUUGGGUGUGAUUCAAUUCGGCCUUCAAACUUGCUCCGACGCCUCCACCACUGCAUGGGCUUUGUUCUUGGGUUCUAAGGGAGUAUAAUGGUGGUGGUAAUUGGAAAGAAUCAUUUCUAAAUUCACCGGAGAAAGGAAAAAUCCGUCGGAACCACCGUGUGUGUACAGCUUCAAUUCGAAUAAAUUUGACAAGAAAUUUGAUAAUCUACCACCACAGGGAUGUUGGGCUCAUCGAGAACGUUCCAUAGACACUGGAAUCACCUCCAACGGACCUCGGACGAAGGAGAUACGACCGGGUCAAGAACCGGGUUGUAAUAUGGAACCGGGUCGUAGGUCCGGUUAGCUAGUUCUUCUUCUUCCUCCCUUCCCUCUUGCUCUCUUCUUUGGUUGGCCAGCCCUUCCUCUCUCCUCUCCUAAUUCGCCAACUCCUUCUUCUUCUCCGAUUGGGCUGUUUUUCCCAAUCUUUCUUUUUCUCUGUUUUUCCUUUCCUUCCGAUGCCUUCCUCAUUCUUUUCUCAUUUCUA
rnacentral:lncRNA from 1 species